GCUCCAGUGGCGUAAUCGGUUAGCGCGUGGUACUUAUAAUUCCGAGGUUGUGAGUUCAAACCUCACCUGGAGCA